GACGUAGGGCGCGAGCGUUGUCCGGAUUUAUUGGGCGUAAAGAGCUCGUAGGCGGCUUGUCGCGUCGUCCGUGAAAACCUGCAGCUCAACUGCAGGCUUGCGGUCGAUACGGGCAGGCUGGAGUUCGGUAGGGGAGACUGGAAUUCCUGGUGUAGCGGUGAAAUGCGCAGAUAUCAGGAAGAACACCAAUGGCGAAAGCAGCUCUCUGGGACGGUACUGACGCUGAGACGCGAAAGCGUGGGGAGCGAACAGG
rnacentral:rRNA from 1 species